rnacentral:RNase_P_RNA from 1 species
CGAUCAAAUAUGGUGGCCGCCGUGAUACCAUAAUAUUGCGGAGGAAAGUCCGAACAUCACAGGGCAAAACUUUCUGCGAAAGCAGAACCCGUCAGCGUGCUGACGGCGGGCCAGUGUCACAGAAAAUGUACCGUCCGUUUAAAGCGGAUAAGGGUGAAAAGGUGGAGUAAGAGACCACCGCUUCCUUUCGGCAGAAAACACAAUGACGGAAGGCCUGAUAAACCCAGUUUGAUGCAAGGCCAAAUAAAGAAGGAUUCCCGCGGGGAAGCGUAAAGCCCAAUGCGCGUUCUGCGAUUGCCGAACACACUUCAGGGUAGGUUGCUUAAGUUUGCCGGUAACGGUAAACUAAGAUAAAUGGCCACGAUCCUGUCUCAGGAUACAGAAUUCGGCUUAUUCAUUUGAUCGGGUU